UGUGCUGUUAAAGCCAUGGAGCACAGUAGGCCGCGCUCUAGCGUGGCUUUAUUUUGCGCAGUAAAGCCUUGUGAAACUGCAACCCAUGAUUAAAUCACAAUAAAACUUCCCUCUUAUUUGUGAAAUAAGAAUGUGACCCAUUUCAACUCCACUCCUCGAGGAAUCCGAAUGGAGAAGAACUGGAAUUGAAAGGAAGAAUUGGAAUUGGAAUCAGAAUUGUUAAAAUCCAAACCAUGCCCACCCCUAGCCCACGCGUGUCUAAUUUA